UACAGAGGUCCCGAGCGUUGUUCGGAUUCACUGGGCGUAAAGGGUGCGUAGGUGGUCAGGUAAGUCGGAUGUGAAAUCUCCGAGCUCAACUCGGAAACUGCAUUGGAAACUACCUGGCUCGAGGGUUGGAGGGGGGACUGGAAUGCUUGGUGUAGCAGUGAAAUGCGUAGAUAUCAAGCGGAACACCAGUGGCGAAGGCGAGUCCCUGGACAACUCCUGACACUGAUGCACGAAAGCUAGGGGAGCAAACAGG
rnacentral:rRNA from 1 species